rnacentral:rRNA from 1 species
GACGAACGCUGGCGGCGUGCCUAAUACAUGCAAGUCGAACGCAGUGGGGACGGGUGAGUAACACGUGGGUAACCUCCCAUCAGAGGGGAUAACACUUGGAAACAGGUGCUAAACCGAUACUGAUGGAUGGAACCGCGGUGCAUUAGCUAGUGGGUGAGGUAACGGCUAACCAAGGCGACGAUGCAUAACCGGUCUGAGAGGGUGAGCGGCCACACUGGAACUGAGACACGGCCCAGACUCCUACGGGAGGCAGCAGUGGGGAAUCUUCGGCAAUGGGCGAAAGUCUGACCGAGCAACGCCGCGUGAGUGAAGAAGGUUUUCGGAUCGUAAAACUCUGUUGUUAGAGAAGCGGUAUCUAACCAGAAAGCCACGGCUAACUACGUGCCAGCAGCCGCGGUAAUUC